UUGACUAGCUGAGAGGAGGUGCAUGGCCGUCGUCAGUUCGUACUGUGAAGCAUCCUGUUAAGUCAGGCAACGAGCGAGACCCACGCCAACAGUUGCCAGCUCGUCCUCCGGGAUGGUGGGGACGACUGUUGGGACCGCCUCUGCUAAAGAGGAGGAAGGAAUGGGCAACGGUAGGUCAGCAUGCCCCGAAUUAUCUGGGCUACACGCGGGCUACAAUGGGUGGGACAAUGGGUAUCGACACCGAAAGGUGAAGGCAAUUUCCUAAACCCAUCCGUAGUUCGGAUUGUGGGCUGCAACUCGCCCACAUGAAGCUGGAAUCUGUAGUAAUCGUGUCUCAAAAUGGCACGGUGAAUAUGUCCCUGCUCCUU
rnacentral:rRNA from 1 species